rnacentral:rRNA from 1 species
AGCGAACGCUGGCGGCAGGCCUAACACAUGCAAGUCGAACGAAGUCUUCGGACUUAGUGGCGGACGGGUGAGUAACACGUGGGAACGUGCCUUUAGGUUCGGAAUAACUCAGGGAAACUUGUGCUAAUACCGAAUGUGCCCUUCGGGGGAAAGAUCUAUCGCCUUUAGAGCGGCCCGCGUCUGAUUAGCUAGUUGGUGAGGUAAAGGCUCACCAAGGCUACGAUCAGUAGCUGGUCUGAGAGGAUGACCAGCCACAUUGGGACUGAGACACGGCCCAAACUCCUACGGGAGGCAGCAGUGGGGAAUCUUGCGCAAUGGGCGAAAGCCUGACGCAGCCAUGCCGCGCGGAUGAUGAAGGUCUUAGGAUUGUAAAAUCCUUUCACCGGUGAAGAUAAUGACUGUAGCCGGAGAAGAAGCCCCGGCUAACUUCGUGCCAGCCGCCGCGGUAACAC